ACUUAUAACGACAUUAUCAUAGGCACAAUUUAUAUCUAAGAACGCAGCUAUUACUGAUUUAUUAUUUGAAAAUGAUAAUUGAAUAUCAGAAAUGAAUAUACUUAAGCUAUCAAUAGUACUUUUCCCACGUCUGAAACCGAAUUGGGAUUCACAUAAUAGACCGUUAUGCUCAACAAACCAUUCAAAACGAUUUUUUAUAAGAUGUUCUGUAAUUUUCAUCAAAACAGAAGAAAGUGCGAUUGGGCGAUAGGCAGAAUGGUCUGAAGAACACCUAUUAGGUUUCAGUACGGGAAUUAUUUCUUGACGUUUCCACGUGGAGGGGAUGUUACCAGAUGUCACUAUGGAAUUUAUAAGAGAUAAAUAAUAAAAUAAAGCAUCAUCAUCUAAAUGAGAGAUAAAGGAAUACGGAAUACCAUCCAGUCCAGGAGCAGAAUCCUUAACAUGAGACAAUACACCUUUUAGUUCAGUGAGAGAAAAUAUACUGUUUAAACCAAAACAAUUAUCAUUAUUUAUAUUUAUUACAGGGUAACCAAUUAUUAAGUCUUCAGGAACGAAAGGUGGAGCCAAUUUAUCUAAAAAGCUAUUAACUAAAUGAAAAGGGAUUGAUUUUGGAGAUGAAUCUUUGUAUGCAGAUCUAAACCUUCUUAUAUUUUGCCAUACAAGAGAUGGUUUGACAUCAGGUGAUAUUGAAUAGCAGAAAUUUUUCCAGCCAUCAAAUUUCUUUUUCUUUAGAAAUUUUGAAGUUUCUGACAUACUCUUUGUAAGAAUUUCAAAAUUCUCAUCAGUGGAGCAUUGACAGUAUGUAAUUUCAGCAUAUUUUCUUCUCUUUACUGCCUCUGUACAUUCGUUAUCCCACCAAGGAGGAGAAGGAAUAAAACCCAAAGAGCUAUUUUUACUUGGAAAUAUCUCAUUGGCAACCUCAAUAAAGAUUCUUGCUAAAGAAUCUGCGCACUGAGAUUCUGUACCUGGAUAAAUUUUUGGAAGUGUUGGAAAUGAUAAUAAUAGUGGGAAGUGAUCACUACCAAAAGUAGAUUGUAACGGAUCCCAGGACAAAGAAGAAGCAAGAUUAGGUGUAGUGACUGUUAAAUCUGGAGCACUUGGGCCCUCGUCAGGAUGAGAACGUCGUGUAGGACGACCAUCAUUUAAUAUACACAAAUUCACUGAAUCAAAUAUAUCUAUUAAUGUGUUACCAUAACUAUUAGAAGAUAAGUAACCCCAGGAUUCAUGGCGACAGUUAAAAUCACCAAGGAUCAUAAAAGGCUUCGGAAGAAUGGAAAUAAUAUCUUUAAUUUCAUUUAAGAUUGCAGAAGAAGGAUGAGGUAUAUAAAUAGAUACAUAACAGAUAUUUUCAACUAAAGCAGCAAUAAUAGAAAAAUCAUUACUGUGAGAAGGAAUAGAGAAGAGAGAAAAGGAAAGAGGGUGUUUCACAAGCAUGGCUACUCCGCCAUGCCCAUCCACACGAUCUUCUCUGAGACAUGAAUAACCUCGAAUCUUAAAUAAAGAUCCUGGUUUCAACCAUGUCUCUUGAAGAGCACAGAUAUAAGAAACUAAUAAGGCAGCGUUGGACGGUGAAAAUUCAUUCGAUUGACUAAGAGAUUUUAUAAGAGAAAUAAUUAAAUCAAUUACUGAGGAUUCCAAAGGA